rnacentral:rRNA from 1 species
GCCAAACAGCUAGCUCAAUUACCCAAUAACUAAACAAUAUAAAUAAAACAAAAUAAGCCUAACACCAAAAAUUAAAUCAUUCUUUUACCUUAGUAUGGGCGACAGAAAAGGUUACACCUGGAGCAAUAGAAAAAGUACCGCAAGGGAAAGCUGAAAGAGAAAUGAAAUAACUUAUAUAAGCACCAAAAAGCAAAGAUUAAAUCUUGUACCUUUCGCAUCAUGAUUUAGCCAGUAUAUCCAAGCAAAGAGACCUUUAGUUUGAAACCCCGAAACCAAGUGAGCUACCCCGAGACAGCCUAUUAAGGGCCAACCCGUCUCUGUGGCAAAAGAGUGGGAAGAGCUCCGGGUAGAGGUGACAGACCUACCGAACUUGGUGAUAGCUGGUUGCCUAAGAAGUGAAUAGAAGUUCAGCCUCGUACUCCCUGAGUCAAAAGAUAUAAAAAGAUAUUAGAGGGAAAUAUAUGAGAGUUAGUUAAAGGGGGUACAGCCCCUUUAACAAAGGACACAACCUUUCCAGGAGGAUAAAGAUCAUAAUACAUAAGACAUCCUAUUCUAGUGGGCCUAAAGGCAGCCAUCUAAACAGAAAGCGUUAAAGCUCAGACAGAAAUAAGUUUAUUAUUCCGACAAGAAAUCUUACUCCCCUAAAUAUUAUUAGGCCAGCCCAUGCCCACAUGGGAGAGACUAUGCUAAAAUGAGUAACAAGAAGGCCAGCCCUUCUCCAAGCACAAGUGUAAGCCAAACCGGACCGACCAUUGGCAAUUAACGAACUCAACCCGAGAGAGUAAUGUGUAUUACAACGAAACCAGGAAGAACCCACAAUUAACCCAUCGUUACCCCCACACUGGCGUGCUAUUAAAGGAAAGACUAAAAGAAGGGAAAGGAACUCGGCAAACACAAGCCUCGCCUGUUUACCAAAAACAUCGCCUCCUGCAACACAACCAAGUAUAGGAGGUCCAGCCUGCCCAGUGACUACAAGUUCAACGGCCGCGGUAUUUUGACCGUGCAAAGGUAGCGCAAUCACUUGUCUCUUAAAUGGAGACCUGUAUGAAUGGCUAAACGAGGGCUUAACUGUCUCCCCCCUCCAGUCAGUGAAAUUGAUCUACCCGUGCAGAAGCGGG